CCAGCACUUGCCAGAGGUGAUGGGAUGGAAGGCGAUGGUCAGUACCAUUGCUGGGAAUUUUGGGCAGCCGCACUGUAGCAACAUUGUGUACGAAACUGCCUGCAAGUCGCGCUGCCCAUGGCGCACGGCUCUGCUGCCCAGGCACUGUGCACGUAUCCCUGCCUUGUCCAGCCCCCAGCACGUCCUGCUGCCCCGGGCUCCCCCGGGCUCCCCUGGGCACGGCUGGGAGCUGCCGCGGGGGCUGCGGCCCUGCGGGGACCCGGCUCUUGUUCCCAUGGUGACAGCAGAACGGCGUCCCGGAUCCCUGAUGUCACAGCGGGGCUGCCGGAAGGCUGCAGGAACAGCGGCAGCUCUGCUCCACGGUCACCACCAGAUGAAGCUCUCAGGGCACUCAAGAUCGCUCUUGCCCUGACACACAGCUUGACCAUGUCGACGCACUGUUACUUUGAGACGGAGAACCUGAGGCACAUACAGAGGCAGAUGAGGAUGAUGGACCUGCGCCUGCAGCUGCUCCGUGAGAAGCUGUGUGCAGCCCGCCUGCACAGGUGCGCCCUUUCCUGCUACUGCGCGCCCCAGCCCUGCUUCCGCAGAAGGUGCAUCUCAAGAAGUGAGAGAACAAAAAGACUUGGCAUGAUGUUGAAUUCAUGCUCUGGUAAAAAUUUGGCUUUGAUCGAUGUGAAGGGGUUUGACCCCAGGGACAUCACGGUAACGGUGAAGGACGGGAAGGUGACGGUGUCAGCGGAGCGCAAGGUGGAGUGCAACACCGGCUUCACAAAGACAUGUAACUACAAAAAGUUCGUAAAGGAAUUCUGCCUGCCGCCAGGGGUGGAUGACAAGGAGGUGACCUACUCAGUGGAAUCCAAGUGCCUAAAGGCGCCACCCAAAUGCUGCCUUUCUCUCUGCAACUACUGAGCUGCAGCAGGAAGCCAAACCAGCCACAGCCAUUCCUCUCCUCACUCCGUCUCUCCAUCACAUUUAGAUCUGUCCCAAUAGCUGUGUGUCAGCAGCUUCUCUUACUUCUUCCAUUAAAGAAAACAGCA
rnacentral:lncRNA from 1 species